rnacentral:rRNA from 1 species
GACGAACCGUGCGAACGUUGUUCGGAUUCACUGGGCUUAAAGGGCGCGUAGGCGGGUCCGCAAGUCCGGGGUGAAAGCCCCCAGCUCAACUGGGGAAGUGCCUCGGAUACUGCGGACCUCGAGGGGGGUAGGGGCGGGCGGAACUUCCGGUGGAGCGGUGAAAUGCGUAGAUAUCGGAAGGAACGCCGGUGGCGAAAGCGGCCCGCUGGACCCUCUCUGACGCUGAGGCGCGAAAGCCAGGGGAGCAAACGGG